GCUUUCGUUAUUUCGGAAAGGGCUGAGCUGUGAAUCGCUUGUAGACGAAGUGCGUCGUAGAGAAAAUAAUAUUGUGCUGAUAAAAACGUUUUAGAAUAUCUGCCAUCUACUUUAUCCAUUUUAGAUCGUGGUCUCCUACAAUUGAACAAAGCUUGAGGUGGCAGUCAGUUCGUGAAAGUCGGAGUACAGAAGCAACAGCAAUAUAAAGUGGUUAACUCAGAUAAUUCAAUAAGCCACAUACAAAGUGUGAAACAUGCCUGCUGUUAAAUCGAAAAGUAAAAGGAAGAUGCCGGCUAAAAGAAAAUCAACGAGGAAAGUUAAGAGUUGCGCAGUUUCUAAGAGAAAGUGUCGCCCUAGUACUCCCAAAAAACCAAAAGGUCAGGGAGCAAAAAAUCCUAAGAAAAUGAUUCCAAAAGCUGCAAAAGAAGCAGUGGAAGAUGGAUUGAAGAUUAGUGCUAUAGAUGAAAAGACGUCGCCUGUCGAAAAGAAGUAAACUUCUGGUAGAGCCAAACGCAACAAGAGGAAAACGUGAAUGUUUGGAAUUUGGGGUGAAUUUCUUCAUCCAGAUUACCAUUUUCACCACUCAUCAGUCUUUGUUGUAAUAUGCCUUACCAGUUUGAAAUGUGUUGCAUUAUAUUCUCUGAACCUCAGAUGUAGGAUUUAAACCGGUAGCACUGUCACAAUUGUUGCCCAUUGUGUACAAUAUGCAGAAAUUGCUGGGCCUUGGUGUUGGUUUUUAUAUUAAAAUUUGUUAACAUUAUUGCAUAAGUAUCUGGCAUGUACUGUAUUAUAAAGGUUUUCAUCACACUUUGAUGUAAUACUGAUUAACGAAUGUAAUACAGUAUGUCCACAAAGUCCCUUAGGGGAUUUGAAAAAUUGUGGUACGCAAACAAAUUGAGCUAGCCACAUGCGGUUUGCGGCCGAUUACUGGAAGCUUUUUUGCUGACCUCAGUAGAUCUUCCUUGGUAGCACGGAGAACGUCCAGAUAUUCGAGCUCUUGCCAUGUUCUGUUGAGCAUGUUCGCUGGAAUAGCCGAGAUCGCAUUUCCGAUACGGGUCUUCAGGUCAAGUCCGUUAACUGGUGACCUGAAGGCGUCUGGAUGUUCUCCAUUUUACCAAGGGAGCCUACAACGAGGUCUACUGAUGUCAGUAAAAAACUUCCAGAGUUUCAAUUCUGCUGCAAAUCGCAUAUGGCUAGCCCAGUUUGGUUGCGCGCCACAAUUUUUCAAAACCCCGAAGGGACUUUGUGGACACGCUGUACAUUUCAAAUGUAUUACAUCAUGUCUAAAUAUUUUGCCAUGCCCCAUUGAUUGAGAUUUGCUAUUUUGUGGGCUUAUGAUAAAAUUUAUUCAUGCAAAUGUAUUACUUGAAUUGCUUGCAAUUAAAAUUUUUAUUCUGUAAUGUACAGACAGUCCAUGCAUGGACAUGUUUCUGUUUUGCAAUAAAAAUUUAUCUGCAGUA